GAUGGAUACCCUUUCCUGACCAGUAGUGUUGAAGAGGCAGAGAGGAGGAUGCAUCAACACCCUGGGAAUAUGUUUGCGGUGCAAUCACUCAUAACACUUUUUUUCAGUGAUAAAUUAGUAUUGUCUUUAAGAUUGAUAAGUACAUGCAUUCAACAAGCUUUGGACAAAGGACUUCCACAAAGCCGCCAUCUCCAAAGUUCACUCAAAAAGGCAAUAGUCCUGAACAGGAUACCCAGAGGACACCUGUUGCUCUGUUUGUCCGACCACAUCCUGGAAAGUCUUCAUUUAGUACCGUACCUCACAAGCGGAUAAUCCAAGGAAGGUGUGGCACUGCUAUUGCCUCAUUUUAACAUGUAUGUACAAUCUGUGUGUAUA